rnacentral:rRNA from 1 species
UACGGAGGGUGCUAGCGUUGUUCGGAAUUACUGGGCGUAAAGGGCGCGUAGGCGGCCAGCACAAGUCAGUUGUGAAAUCUCCGAGCUUAACUCGGAACGGUCAACUGAUACUGUGCGGCUAGAGUGCGGAAGGGGCAACUGGAAUUCUUGGUGUAGCGGUGAAAUGCGUAGAUAUCAAGAGGAACACCUGCGGCGAAGGCGGGUUGCUGGGCCGACACUGACGCUGAGGCGCGAAAGCCAGGGGAGCGAACGGG